rnacentral:rRNA from 1 species
AACGAACGCUGGCGGCAGGCUUAACACAUGCAAGUCGAGCGCCCCGCAAGGGGAGCGGCAGACGGGUGAGUAACGCGUGGGAAUCUACCGAGCCCUGCGGAAUAGCUCCGGGAAACUGGAAUUAAUACCGCAUACGCCCUACGGGGGAAAGAUUUAUCGGGGUUUGAUGAGCCCGCGUUGGAUUAGCUAGUUGGUGGGGUAAUGGCCUACCAAGGCGACGAUCCAUAGCUGGUCUGAGAGGAUGAUCAGCCACACUGGGACUGAGACACGGCCCAGACUCCUACGGGAGGCAGCAGUGGGGAAUAUUGGACAAUGGGCGCAAGCCUGAUCCAGCCAUGCCGCGUGAGUGAUGAAGGCCUUAGGGUUGUAAAGCUCUUUCAGUGGGGACGAUAAUGACGGUACCCACAGAAGAAGCCCCGGCUAACUUCGUGCCAGCCGCCGCUGUAAAAC